UACAGAGGGUGCGAGCGUUAAUCGGAAUUACUGGGCGUAAAGCGCGCGUAGGCGGCUCUGCAAGUCGGGUGUGAAAUCCCCAGGCUUAACCUGGGAACUGCAUUCGAGACUGCAUUGCUAGAGUAUGGGAGAGGGAAGUGGAAUUUCCGGUGUAGCGGUGAAAUGCGUAGAUAUCGGAAGGAACAUCAGUGGCGAAAGCGGCUUCCUGGUCCAGCACCGACGUUCAGGCACGAAAGCGUGGGGAGCAAACAGG
rnacentral:rRNA from 1 species